rnacentral:rRNA from 1 species
UACGUAGGGUGCGAGCGUUAAUCGGAAUUACUGGGCGUAAAGCGUGCGCAGGCGGUUUUGUAAGCCAGAUGUGAAAGCCCCGGGCUUAACCUGGGAAUGGCAUUUGGGACUGCAAGGCUGGAGUGUGGCAGAGGAGACUGGAAUUCCUGGUGUAGCAGUGAAAUGCGUAGAUAUCAGGAGGAACACCGGUGGCGAAGGCGGGUCUCUGGGCCGAUACUGACGCUGAGGAGCGAAAGCGUGGGGAGCGAACAGG